rnacentral:rRNA from 1 species
UACAGAGGGCGCGAGCGUUGUCCGGAAUCACUGGGCGUAAAGGGCGCGUAGGCGGCCCGGUAAGUCCGCUGUAAAAGUCAAAGGCUCAACCUUUGAAUGUCAGUGGAUACUGCCGGGCUAGAGUCCGGAAGAGGCGAGUGGAACUCCUGGAUGUAGCGGUGGAAUGCGCAGAUAUCAGGAAGAACACCAACGGCGAAGGCAGCUCGCUGGGACGGUACUGACGCUGAGACGCGAAAGCGUGGGGAGCGAACAGG